UUAGGCUUGGAUAAGAUUGUGAAAUAAACAAACAACACAUUUUUUGCAUGAUUUUUUAAGGUAACGUAUGGACGUAGAGCAUCUGAUGACAAAGGAUCCAUAUUGGCCUGGAUGAAUACCAUUGAAGCAUUUCAAGCCCUGAAACAGGCAGGAUAUCCCAGUAAACCUGAAGUUCAUCUUCGAAGGCGUGGAGGAAAUUGGAAAGAAAAGAACGACACAUUUUUUGCAGAUAUGGACUACAUAGUGAUCUCUGACAGUACUUGGCUCAGCAGGAAACCUGCCCUCACUUAUGGAGCAGGACAGUGCUCCAUGCCACACAGCCAGGUCAAUCAAGGUGUGGAUGGAGGACCACCAGAUCAAGACCCUGUCAUGGCCAGCCCAAUCUCCAGACCUUGAACCCCAUAGAAAACCUCUGGAAUGUGAUCAAGAUGAAGAUGGAUGGUCACAAGCCAUCAAACAAAGCCGAGCUGCUUGAAUUUUUAAUUUGCCACUUUGUCACAUAACCUAGUGCAGCCUUGUAGACUCCGCUGGUCAUAUUCUGAUCUCUGGUAUUAAUGAAGCAGUUCCUCCUCUCACUGAAGAGGAGAGGAAGCUGUAUGAGGUGAGUGAGUUUGACCCAGAGACUUUCAAGAAUCAUGUUGGAAACUUCUU